GACGAACGCUGGCGGCGUGCUUAACACAUGCAAGUCGAACGGAAAGGCCCUGCUUUUGUGGGGUGCUCGAGUGGCGAUCGGGUGAGUAACACGUGAGUAACCUGCCCUUGACUUUGGGAUAACUUCAGGAAACUGGGGCUAAUACCGGAUAGGAGCUCCUGCUGCAUGGUGGGGGUUGGAAAGUUUCGGCGGUUGGGGAUGGACUCGCGGCUUAUCAGCUUGUUGGUGGGGUAGUGGCUUACCAAGGCUUUGACGGGUAGCCGGCCUGAGGGGGUGACCGGCCACAUUGGGACUGAGAUACGGCCCAGACUCCUACGGGAGGCAGCAGUGGGGAAUAUUGCACAAUGGGCGGAAGCCUGAUGCAGCAACGCCGCGUGCGGGAUGACGGCCUUCGGGUUGUAAACCGCUUUCGCCUGUGACGAAGCGUGAGUGACGGUAAUGGGUAAAGAAGCACCGGCUAACUACGUG
rnacentral:rRNA from 1 species